rnacentral:tRNA from 1 species
GGAGAGGUGGCCGAGCUGGCUGAAGGCGCUCGCCUGCUAAGUGAGUAACUGGGGAGACCUGGUUCGAGAGUUCGAAUCUCUCCCUCUCCG